CGUGUGACGCCAGUUAGCUCCCGUCGAGUAGGAGCCGUUUACUGGGAUUUAUUAGGUUGUCUUGUGUUUAUCUGUUGUUUUUGGUUUCUCAUUUGUCUCCUGCUUAUUAUUUGUCUUUUGUUUGAUUUUGCCACGUGUGGUUUUCCCUUCAUGGGGAAACCCGGUUUUGUUAUUAAUUGAGUUAGUCUUUUGUGUUUGUAGGUGCUCGCAGACCAAGGUGGCGGGAGUGGCGCUUCCGGGAUUUGGGGUCUCCCUUUGUGUGUUGUGUUUUUAAGUUAUCUCCAGUGCCGACCCUCACGUGUGUUUGUGUGAGUGUGUUGAGGGCGUGCACGAGUGAUUGGGGUGCUUACUUUGCUUUUGGGACCCCACCCGCGCUGGUCUACCUCACCCGCCACCGGUCAGUCCCCACCCUACACCUUUAUUUUCAGUAACGGCCCUUUUUAUUAUUAUCUUGCAUUUUAUACCUUGUGUGAUCAAAUAAAUAUUGUAUAUGGA